UGGAUAUGAAAAAGUCUGCUACGGAACAUCAUCAUAGUUACUAUGUGAUAACCAGUACCACAGCUCUUGAUGCUGUGAUUGCUAUGCCCAUAGGACCUUCCAUCGUUGAGAAGUUUACUAUAUACCAUGGUGCCCGUGCAUAGCAGAAAUGGAGGAAACUUAAAAAUUUACUGAAAAUGGUGGACAGAAUCCGUUAACCCAUCAUUCCCAGUUCAAAGACCUAAACCAAGACCAAUACUGGUUCUUUUCCUAAUUUUUACAUAAAAAGGGAGUUUAUGACAUAAAUAGAAAUAAUAAGUAUUCAGAUUGUGACUACUUUUAAGGUAUUAAUGACACUUGGAAUAUGCAACAAUAUUGAUGUACGCUGUUCUUGUAUACGAUC